CCUUUAUUUUCAUAAAUAUAUCUUUAUUGACUUUUUUAAUUUUUCUUGCUGAAUUAGUCUUCUCCUUCCUCUGGAACUUGGGUGCCUUCUGCGACUUGGGCUAGAGCAAAAGAAUGUUAACCUUUUGGCCUCACUCGAUCGACCUCAACAUCAUGGCCGCCGUGGCCUGUGAACUCCCGUUUGGUUUGAAGAGGCAACAUAGCGUUGAGUACUGUAUCUGAAAUGGCUGACGCAUUUUUUGUGCCCUUCUUUUCAUCUUUGAAUUUUAAUACUCAUGGCCAUAACAUGAGUACUGAUCGGGUUGAUCGUCAAUUGCAGCUCAUGGUUUACCACCUUCCCUGGCCUUAAUUAGUCGUUCGUAAUCUUAUGGAGCAGGCCAGGUUUGCUUAUUUAUGCACCAUAAUGUCUUGAAUGAACCAUCAGCAUGAAAGAUUGGUUCGCUCGUAGAUUUUGCACCUGAUCCUGCACCUCUCAUGCAAAGUCACGGCAAGAUUUAUAAUACGAGAGUGAUUCGGGCUCUUGAAACUGAAGCAUGUAAUAGCCAAAGAUAGAAUACUAGUCAAUACUUUAAUAUUUUACCCACCAUACUAAUACAAUUUUAUUUUCAUUCAA